UACGUAGGGCGCAAGCGUUGUCCGGAAUUAUUGGGCGUAAAGAGCUCGUAGGCGGUUUGUCGCGUCUGCUGUGAAAACCUAAGGCUCAACCUUGGGCUUGCAGUGGGUACGGGCAGACUAGAGUGCGGUAGGGGUGACUGGAAUUCCUGGUGUAGCGGUGGAAUGCGCAGAUAUCAGGAGGAACACCGGUGGCGAAGGCGGGUCUCUGGGCAGUAAACUGACGC
rnacentral:rRNA from 1 species